AGUGAACGCUGGCGGUAGGCCUAACACAUGCAAGUCGAACGGCAGCACAGUAAGAGCUUGCUCUUACGGGUGGCGAGUGGCAGACGGGUGAGGAAUACAUCGGAAUCUACUUUUUCGUGGGGGAUAACGUAGGGAAACUUACGCUAAUACCGCAUACGACCUACGGGUGAAAGCAGGGGAUCUUCGGACCUUGCGCGAUUGAAUGAGCCGAUGUCGGAUUAGCUAGUUGGCGGGGUAAAGGCCCACCAAGGCGACGAUCCGUAGCUGGUCUGAGAGGAUGAGCAGCCACACUGGAACUGAGACACGGUCCAGACUCCUACGGGAGGCAGCAGUGGGGAAUAUUGGACAAUGGGCGCAAGCCUGAUCCAGCCAUACCGCGUGGGUGAAGAAGGCCUUCGGGUUGUAAAGCCCUUUUGUUGGGAAAGAAAAGCAGCAGGUUAAUACCCCGCUGUUCUGACGGUACCCAAAGAAUAAGCACCGGCUAACUUCGUG
rnacentral:rRNA from 1 species